GUCCUCGUGGAGCACAGCAGCUCGCUCCUGCAGAUUAGAUCCAGAGUUCUGUCGCAAUGUGUACAUGGGAGAGUCGGUGGUUCGAACCCACCCGAGGACA